CCUCUGUCUAUGGCGAACCAAUGGGACCAGAAGAGAGGUGGCCGAUGGUGUCCCGGGAGUGUUUGCAGGAGUAAACACGCUUAGCAGGUUACUGCAGAUCACCGGAGCUAACUGCACACAUGCACUCUUAUCCAGAGAUCACUCAGGAAAUCACAAGUAGCAUUACCACCUGGGACCUGCCUGGGCUCUGGCACCAUUCGCCUUCCUCUGCCUCCAUGGGAGCAGUGAUAGGCUCCCAGUGAUAGGCACAAACCCAUUAAGCAAAUGGAUUUUUUCUUGUGAAGUGUUUAAAAAUAGUCACUUUUUAUUAUUAAAAAUGGUGGCUGGUGUGUCAUGACUCAACAGUCCGAGGGCAAAUCUGCACACUUUAUAUCAAUACUUCACGUAAGCAACUGAAGUAAUCGAUAGUUCAAGUAUAUGUCUGUAUUUAUUACAUAUUCAAUCGACUAACUCAUGCUCUUUCAUCAAUACAUUAACUGAUAAUAAAACUCCGUUUACUAUAGAAAAUAUUAGACACUGUGUAACGAAUAAUUGAACAUUACUAUGUGAGAGUAUUGAGCUACAAAGGAGCAGUGGGAGGGAGCUGCGCUGUGCCCUCCCGGCUGAGCCCACCUCGCGUGAUGAAAGGGAAAACAAAAUGCUAUAGAUAAGAGAUUAAAAACGCCUUGUGCUAAUAAAGAUCUGAACUCAUCAAAGCAGGAAGGAUUCAAACGAGGCAGGUGCUGGUUUUGAGCUGGCUGAGAGGUGUCCUUCCAUCAGCAGUAGCGGCUUGGGGAGUGUUGUCCAAAUCAGCAGUGUGUGCCCUGGGGACAAUAAAGAAGCAGGUGUCUGCCCUUGGGGACAAUAAAGCCAGCCUCUGCCCUUGGGACACCAAAGCAGCAGGCUCCUUGCUGGCACACACCUUGGCAUGAGAUUUUGUUGUAAAGGAUGGCUCAGGGGACCAAGUGAGAGCAGCCAAUGGGCACCGCAAGCUGAGACCACAGC